UACGUAGGGGGCAAGCGUUGUCCGGAUUUAUUGGGCGUAAAGAGCGUGUAGGCGGCUGGGUAGGUCCGUUGUGAAAACUCGAGCUCAACCUCGAGACGCCGAUGGAACCCUCCAGCUAGAGUCCGGAAGAGGAGAGUGGAAUCCUGGUGUAGCGGUGGAAAUGGCGCAGAUAUCAGGAAGAACACCCGGUGGCUAAGGCGGCUCUCUAGUACGGUACUGACGCUGAGACGCGAAAGCGUGGGGAGCGAACAGG
rnacentral:rRNA from 1 species